CGAAUAAUUAUUCUUGAGGAAGAAGACACGUUUUUUUCCAAACUUUUCGAAAAAUACGGAAAUGGACCGUUUAAUUCGUAUAUUCAAAAAUUCGCGAAUAAUUCGCGUAUUAAUCGCGAAUUAACUAACUAUGCUGUAUAAUCCAGAACUAACCGUCAGCCACUAGCCGACAAUCCUAUCCCUCACGGUAUACUGACCGUAUA
rnacentral:lncRNA from 1 species